GUCUGACCAGCCAAGUCGCGUGAAGGAAGACGGCCCUACGGGUUGUAAACUUCUUUUGUAAGGGAAUAAAGAGUCUUACGAGCUAAGACGUUGCAGGUACCUUACGAAUAAGGAUCGGCUAACUCCGUG
rnacentral:rRNA from 1 species